rnacentral:pre_miRNA from 1 species
AGUGGAUAGCUGGGUCAAAUGGUGGUUCAUUCAAUUUUCUGAGGAAUCUUCAUACUGCUUUCCAGAGUGGUUGCACCAAUUUUCAGUCCCACCAGCAAU